AGAGUUUGAUCCUGGCUCAGAUUGAACGCUGGCGGCGUGCCUAAUACAUGCAAGUCGAGCGAUCCCUUAGGGGAUAGCGGCGGACGGGUGAGUAACACGUAGGCAACCUGCCUGCAAGACUGGGAUAACUAUCGGAAACGAUAGCUAAGACCGGAUAGCUGUUCUUUUCGCAUGGGAAGAACAUGAAACACGGAGCAAUC
rnacentral:rRNA from 1 species